AGGUCAUACACAUCUCCUGACAAAGUAAUGCAAAAUCAUUUUUUUCCCCCCAAAGCUUAUCACCUUAGGAUAUAUCAAGUCAAAGCUAAAGAAACCAUAACUUAUAAAAACACCCCAUGCCAUGCAAAACACAAUCCUGUCUGGCUGCAGCAUCAUCUUUGCCACAGGAGUGAACAAAGUCCAGUAAGUGAGGGGGGGGACUAGCACUCCUCUGUGCUCACUUCUGUCCUAUCAGACUGCAGCAGGGAGGAAAGGGUUACAGAGCAGCCUGCAGUGAUUGGAUGAAGAGACCCAGCACAGCAGACUCAGCGAGGAAGAUGAGUCAUAGUGAGGACACGCCCCCCCUCCAAAGCACAGAAUCACAAACCAAGUGAGCAACAGAUAUAAGGACAAUACUCAAGUGUGGGAAGUUCUUGCCCCUGUGAAGAAAGCUACAGUAUAUUGGCAGGACCCUAGUUACCAGAAUUCAUUCAUUAAACUACUACAAGUCUCAGAAAGGCAACAGAGCUCCCAAGGGGUUACGCUACACUCUCGCACCAAAGGCCAGCUGUCAAUGCAAUUCCACCUGCAUCGUGUCUGGCCCAGGAGAAGCUGCCUUCAACCUCGGACCGCGUAUAGGAUAACGGUGCCCUGGCAUCACGAAGUGAUCAGAAUCAAUUUUUUGUAUAAAGAGGCAGCUGGAUGAGUGGGCCCCGGGCCAGCAGGACUGACACCUGGUUAUGACUAUGCUAAAGAGCAAUUUGUUAGCAACACCGCGGAAGAACAUUUGGCAGGCAGCCAAUGAUUCGGCGAGGAACAUCGCGGCACUCUGGAACACAGUCAACCUGAUCUCUACCGAGCAGCUGACAAGCGAAAAUGUCUCCAGCCCAUAACCUUCUCAUUGCCAACAGAUUCAUCCUCGUUGCCUUGAUGAUAAAAAGGAAAAAUGGAAAACUAGAAAAUAAACCCUUACCGGCUAUGUUCACUCAGCUCGAUAACCCAUGGAUGUGGUGUAUUAUUACUUUAUAAUCCUAUCAGCUUGCCAGGGUAUU